rnacentral:rRNA from 1 species
AACGAACGCUGGCGGCAUGCCUAACACAUGCAAGUCGAACGAAGCCUUCGGGCUUAGUGGCGCACGGGUGCGUAACGCGUGGGAAUCUGCCCUUGGGUUCGGAAUAACAGUUAGAAAUGACUGCUAAUACCGAAUGAUGUCUUCGGACCAAAGAUUUAUCGCCCAAGGAUGAGCCCGCGUCGGAUUAGCUAGUUGGUGAGGUAAAGGCUCACCAAGGCGACGAUCCGUAGCUGGUCUGAGAGGAUGAUCAGCCACACUGGGACUGAGACACGGCCCAGACUCCUACGGGAGGCAGCAGUGGGGAAUCUUAGACAAUGGGCGCAAGCCUGAUCUAGCCAUGCCGCGUGAGCGAUGAAGGCCUUAGGGUUGUAAAGCUCUUUCGUGGGGGGAAGAUAAUGACGGUACCCCAAGAAGAAGCCCCGGCUAACUCCGUGCCAGCAGCCGCGGUAAU